ACGCCUCGAUAUCCUGUCCAUAAAAGUUACAAACAGGAUUGGUGACAAGGCGCAGCC
ensembl:miRNA